CUCAGGCCCAGCUCUGUAAACAGGUCUGAACUGAAAGAAAACAAUUCAGUCACUUUUUGAGGUUCUAAUACAUUUGCUCUACCUAUCACAAAUUAUAUUUCAUCUUCAUGUAUCUUUUCUCAGCUGGGGCUUUGCUCUUCACAGGCAAAUGGAAUGGUAUCAGUCCCUCCAGACUGUAUCUCCUCUACUGACACUCUGUGCCAGUUUCAAAGAAAUUACUGGCAAAACUCCCACUGGCUUCUGGGAUGAAAUCAUACUCAUCCUUUUUGUCCUUAUUCCAAUGAAUAUUCCUGAUGCAGAGAAUUAAUGUGAUCCAGUUGAGAUCCAGUUGGACACAUCAACAGAUCUCUCAGUUGACUUGGAGACCAUGAAUGUAAGGUAUUGGUUUAUUGACAUAACUGCAAUUAGACAAUUUAAAAAAGAAUUGAUUAUGAAAGAUUUUGCUGCUUUUUUACCCCAAGUUUUUUACCCCCCCCCCCCCCCCCCCAUAGUUUGGGUAGUGCAAAAAAUAAAUAAAUAAAAUGAUAAUGUAUGUUUUUUGAG
rnacentral:lncRNA from 1 species